rnacentral:rRNA from 1 species
GGGGUGUCCGUGUUUUCAUCUCAUCUUCCCUGUGACUACCUAUAACGUUGCCUCGGCGGGAACAGACGGCCCCGUAACACGGGCCGCCCCCGCCAGAGGACCCCCUAACUCUGUUUCUAUAAUGUUUCUUCUGAGUAAACAAGCAAAUAAAUUAAAACUUUCAACAACGGAUCUCUUGGCUCUGGCAUCGAUGAAGAACGCAGCGAAAUGCGAUAAGUAAUGUGAAUUGCAGAAUUCAGUGAAUCAUCGAAUCUUUGAACGCACAUUGCGCCCGCCAGUAUUCUGGCGGGCAUGCCUGUUCGAGCGUCAUUACAACCCUCAGGCCCCCGGGCCUGGCGUUGGGGAUCGGCGGAAGCCCCCUGCGGGCACAACGCCGUCCCCCAAAUACAGUGGCGGUCCCGCCGCAGCUUCCAUUGCGUAGUAGCUAACACCUCGCAACUGGAGAGCGGCGCGGCCACGCCGUAAAACACCCAACUUCUGAAUGUUGACCUCGAAUCAGGUAGGAAUACCCGCUGAACUUAAGCAUAUCAAAUAAGCGGAGGAA